GGGUUGUGAGGUUAAGCGACUAAGCGUACACGGUGGAUGCCCUGGCAGUCAGAGGCGAUGAAGGACGUGCUAAUCUGCGAUAAGCGUCGGUAAGGUGAUAUGAACCGUUAUAACCGGCGAUUUCCGAAUGGGGAAACCCAGUGUGUUUCGACACACUAUCAUUAACUGAAUCCAUAGGUUAAUGAGGCGAACCGGGGGAACUGAAACAUCUAAGUACCCCGAGGAAAAGAAAUCAACCGAGAUUCCCCCAGUAGCGGCGAGCGAACGGGGAGCAGCCCAGAGCCUGAAUCAGUGUGUGUGUUAGUGGAAGCGUCUGGAAAGGCGCGCGAUACAGGGUGACAGCCCCGUACACAAAAAUACACAUACUGUGAGCUCGAUGAGUAGGGCGGGACACGUGGUAUCCUGUCUGAAUAU
rnacentral:rRNA from 1 species